UACAAAUCAGAGCUCUUGUCAGAUGUUAAAGGUUGAUUUGCUGGACAUCUGUUAUGGUGAAGGCUGAGCAGCUCAGUAUUUCAUUUCCCAGACUCUCCUGGAGUGAAACAUGACGCGGAGCCCCAGCAUGCAGCAAAAACAUCUAUGCUACAGACAAUAAACUUGUUAAUCAGUUUUCUGCAAUAAAGCUUAUCUUUUGGUACCUGUUGGCUCCCAGCAGUGUUGGUAUUUGAACUUAGAGUCUUCAUCACCUGCUUCAGACCACAUUCAC